AACGAACGCUGGCGGCAUGCCUAACACAUGCAAGUCGAACGAUGCCUUCGGGCAUAGUGGCGCACGGGUGCGUAACGCGUGGGAAUCUGCCUUUCGGUUCGGAAUAACUCAGGGAAACUUGAGCUAAUACCGGAUAACGUCGCAAGACCAAAGAUUUAUCACCGAAAGAUGAGCCCGCGUAGGAUUAGCUAGUUGGUGAGGUAAAGGCUCACCAAGGCGACGAUCCUUAGCUGGUCUGAGAGGAUGAUCAGCCACACUGGGACUGAGACACGGCCCAGACUCCUACGGGAAGCAGCAGUGGGGAAUAUUGGACAAAGGGCGAAAGCCUGAUCCAGCAAUGCCGCGUGAGUGAUGAAGGCCUUAGGGUUGUAAAGCUCUUUUACCCGGGAAGAUAAUGACGGUACCGGGAGAAUAAGCCCCGGCUAACUCCGUG
rnacentral:rRNA from 1 species